UUUGUCAGUGAAAGGAGAGGAACUUUAUUUAGAGACCUGAGGCAGAGAGGAAAAAUCAAUGAUGAUUAUGGUGGUCUUGGGCCUGCACCAAAAGAGGUUUUUCUUUUCACUGGCCAUGGAAGAAAACACGAUGUGGAAAAACAUGGAUUCAAGCAGCGGCUUCAACCAGAGCACUGACAUUUGCUGCUGACUAAAGAGACAAGAAUGAGAAAGUGUAAGAUUUAUGCUCAGGAGACUCAUGUGCUUUUCGUAUAGGGACCUCCCUGGCUCAGUUUCCCAGAGGUUCCAUCAAACAUAAGGUUUCAAAGAGUUUGAGAAACACACCUUCAAAAAGGUAGGUCCAAGGGCUAUGUCAACCUCUCUUCUGAAUGCACAAGAUUAGAAGGAGGCUCUCCAGCAUCAAGAAGACAAGUGAUGAACACAGAAAAUCUAGUUCUUUGCAGGAUUGGUGGGGAAGUGGGGGAAGAGCUGGUUUCUUGGGGGGAAGGAGGGAGUGCUAGGGAAAAGUGAGAGACAGUCUCUGGAAGGUGAAUGGAGAGCUGUGCUUUGACAAAGGUGUGACAUUUUGGAACAUUUGCCAAGCUAGGAUGACAAUUCCUCAGGUCUGAGAGUCUCUUGUAAUCAGAAAAUGUCAUCAAUACCUUGUCUUCCUGUUCCUGUUCUGGCAUAACUUCUUUGCUUUUUGUGUCUUUGGUAAAUCCUUCAGAUGGCAUGUUGAACACUUACAUCUAAGGGAUUUCACCAUCUUCUCACAUCCCCCAACUCUGGCCAGGAGCGGGGUUCUUGCUGUAACAGCAGCCUCUUUUGGUUCCCCCUCCCUCACUCCAAGUCCAUUUGUCCAAAGCAGCCCACUCAUACUCCCUUUAUAUAUGAAGACAGGUGGCCAUGACAUAGGCCCUCUUGCUAAAAGGACCUGAUGAUUGACGAUAACAUGUCAUAAUGGCUGAAAGUCAACAUGAGAGCCUGGUUGGGUGGUUGGGGAAUACUGAGACAUUUGAAUAAAAUCAAGAAAGCACUUACUAAAACUGCUAGAAUCUAGGUGGCUGCCCAACUGUAUAGCCCACAGGAACCACUCUGAACGAUACAAACCAAGUAAAAUUCUCCUGGCCUUUCAGGCAUAAGUCCAGCAUCUUCAAAGCCUUUACCUGCUGGCAUAUUUAGGAACCUAAUCGUCAAGUGCUCCACGGGGUCAGGAAAGGUGAGGACUGAAAAACAAGUUUCUUUACAGGUGGCCCCCCACCCCCAUCCCCGUCUCAAGGCUCAGAAUACCAUCUUCAGGUAAAUGACCGGAAAGCCCGCAUGAAGCUUCUAACAUCUACCAGACUAAGUGCAACCACACCAGCAUACAGCAGCGAUGCCCCUCCCCCGGACUCGGUGGGCUUCCUGCAGGAGCAUCAGAGAAAGAAGAGCACCCCCAAGAAGAGCACAGAGCAGAAGGAGGCUUGCAAUGGCAUGAAGAAAAUGCCACUAUCACUAUUUCAGGACAGUGGUCCACUGAGGAAACAAAUAUUUCUGCCUGGUGACACAGUCCUUACCAGUACUCCAGGACAUCUCAGUGGCAUUACCUUCCGCAUUUCCCCCCAAAACAAAAAUAAGGCUGCCCAGUAUUGGGAGUUGCUUGACCAAUAAAAUCUUAUCACUGCAACACUCAAAGGAUCUG
rnacentral:lncRNA from 1 species